UGGAACCUUUUUGGGAUGGUCUUGA
rnacentral:piRNA from 1 species